rnacentral:rRNA from 1 species
UACGAAGGGGGCUAGCGUUGUUCGGAAUUACUGGGCGUAAAGGGCGCGUAGGCGGUCCGCUAAGUCGAACGUGAAAUCCCCAGGCUCAACCUGGGAACUGCGUCCGAUACUGGCAGGCUUGAAUCCGGGAGAGGGAUGUGGAAUUCCAGGUGUAGCGGUGAAAUGCGUAGAGAUCGGGAGGAACAUCUGUGGCGAAGGCGGCCAUCUGGACCGGCAUUGACGCUGAGGAGCGAAAGCUAGGGGAGCAAACGGG